rnacentral:lncRNA from 1 species
CAAUAUUCAAUAUCAACCGCAUAUGUUUCAGGCUUUCAGCUAUUGAAAGUUGGAGCUUCUUAAACUCAUAACCUAGUGAUAUGUAUCCGAGAUCUCUUGCGGCUGGUUGAGUCUCGUCAUGACAUCUGAUAGAUGAUAGAGUUUAUGUAUACCAUGUAUUGCUGCAUGACAGAAAACCUGGAACCUAUUGGCCAUAAAACCUUGGCAUGCAUCAGUAUCUAAUUCUCAGUUUCUUAAUCCAGUUUGCGAUAAGCUUACAUGGAGUUUGUUGUUCAGCUUCAGACACUAAUAUUACUAUAAUUCUAUUCAAGAGAAUCUGGAUGAGUAGUACUUGAUGAUCUUUUACACAAAUGACUUGCCGAUGCAAGAAGCUUUCAGUCUUGAGAGGAGCACUUGUCUUGCACACUACAGAAUGCAAUUCCUGCAGUUCAAGCAAAAACUUUCUUGAAGUGUUUCACUGUCAUGGAUUCCUUCAGCCAGUGAUGAAUUCUUAGAUAUCUUCAAGGCACCUGAAUCCAAAUACUUCCCAGUGUGGUUGAACCUUUGAUCUAAAAUUUGCACUUUGGAGCAUGCAUUCAUGAGUACCUAAACCCCUCUUCUUAUUGGAAUUACAUUGCCAGUGCCAACUGCAACUGCAACUUGUUUCAUCUCCAUCUCCGACAUAGUCAUGUCCUGCAGAUUUGUGGGAUCCAAAUAGGUCUAGUUUUAGUGAAUGAUCAGUGGUAAGUACAACACAUUCUCCAAGUCAAGCAUUGCACCAUUUUUAUCUGGAUUUUCCCUAUCCAGGCUGCAAGAAAUUGUGAUUGAACUCUGUCAGGAUAAUUACUACACUGCAUUGCACAGAAGAGGGCCUAAUUGGAUAUCAGCAUAAUAAGAUAAAAAAAAAUCUAAAAAACCUUGUUUGGUAAACCUCAAGUUAUUUGGGAACUGAUCCCACGGAAGAUUUGCUCAGCAGAAUGGAGAGAGAGAGUCUUUUGUCAGUAAGCCAGAGAUACAAAAAACUAAAAGCCUAACCCUUUGCCAUUGUUCUUUAUCUGAAUCUAAUUUUGUCAUAAUGCUAGAUCACAUAAAAAUAGUUUAAAUCUGGAUUUCUCUGCCUCUGUAAGCUUAGAACUGAUCAAUAUAGAACUAAAAAAAAGAAAAGAUAAACGAUGUGAAUUGCUUAAAAAUUCUACAAUUUUUUACUCAGAUCUCAAGGAUGAAAAAAGAUCAAAUAGCCGCAUUAUGAGAAUAUAUGGAAAGAAUUCAAAAAAAAAAAAAAGCUACUGGAUCCGGCAAUAAUUCUGCUGCAAUUUUCAACAGCAAUUUCUUCACAUAAAAGCUUAAAGAUGCUGAUGAGAAUGGAAAGUGAUCCACCGAGUAUGAAAAGGUCAGAGAUGGUUCAACUGCUGGACUACUUUUUCUAGCUCCAUGUGAGUCAAAUAGUGUCCUAAUCCAAGCUUUGUUUGAUUGAUACUAGAUACUAGAAAACUUUGACAGAAGAUUGCUUUUGUGUGAAGUCAUUAUGUAACGAAAUAAUCUUCAUGAAGUGAUAAACUAUAUUGCUCAUCUCAUAGGCUCAAUAAAUAAAUCAAAAAACCUUUGAAAGGAAAAAAAAACUCAAACCUUUUCUUCCCAUAUUCUCUCUUUUCUUUUUCUUUCUUGCAUGAGUUUUUAGUUUCACAUGUAAUAGUAAAAAAGUCUACCUGUCUUGUAUUAACCGCCUCUCAUCUAAUCUAAAUGAUAUGCUAUGCAAUAAUAUUAUUGUCUAAAUAUUUCAUGAUAUUAAAAAUAUAAAUCAGAUAAUAAUACAUGUCUUAUUUACUGACCGAAGUUUUUAGAUGCAGUGAUAGUAAUAAAUAUGACAAUAAUCCAUAUCAAGCAUGUAGAAUCAAUCCUAUGCAAACCUUUUUUCUUUUUUUUUGCAAGAAGAAAAACUAAUAUUUGAUGAGUCAAAUGAUUAUAGCAGACUCCGUUAGUAUCAGUGCGAAUCAAAAAAAUUAAAAUCAAGAGAUAAGUUAUCCUACAAAAACAAAAUCUGAAAUGUGUCUACUAACAGAAUUAGGAAACCAUUUUACAGGUACGUUUUCUUCUCUAAAAAAAUGAAAUAUAAAUAAACAUAUCCAAAUUACUCAAAUCAAAUUCCGAUGUUGCAAAUUUUCCACAGGACAAAACCCCAAUUCUUUGGUCACAACUCCUGUCCUAAAUUACACACCCAACCAUCACUCAACCUUUUUAGUUAGCCUUCCUUCUGAGUGGGAGUGUGGAAAAAGGCUGGACUUUUCCUUCCCAACCCGCAAAUGGCGAAGCUGAUGCAAAGCAUCCGCCUUUUGGUCGCCCUCGUCCUCCUCGCCCGGGCUGCCGCCGGAGAGGCGGGGGCCGAGCUGCCGCUCGGCUGGAUCCCCUCCUCCCUCUCCGGCUGCCGCGGCACUAUCGCGGAAUGCCUCGCCGGGGAGGAAUUCGAUCUCGGAUCUGAGGCAGGCCGCCGCAUCCUCGCCACCUCCAGCUACAUCAGCUACGGCGCCCUCAAGCGCGACACCGUGCCUUGCUCCCGUCGCGGCGCCUCCUACUACAACUGCCGCCCCGGCGCCCAGGCCAACCCCUACUCCCGCAGCUGCUCCGCCAUCACCCAGUGCCGCGGUGGAUGAGAGAAAAGCCAGAAAAAAAAAAGGAAGGAGAAGAACCAAUUUGGUAUGUAUUUGGUCACUCUGUUCGAGGUUUAAGUGAUUGGUGUUGUGUGUCAUGAAGCCAUUGUUGUAGCAGAUUUACUAUUUGGUUAUAAUUCUACUUUUUGUUUCCUUUUAAUGCAUCUUUCAGAAAAGAAUUGAUGAUUAAGACUUAGACUUAGUAGUUUCCUGGAAGAUAUCAAUAAUUUAUGUGUAAUUGAGAUGUUCUGCCUUGAUCUUUCAUAAGCUCUGUGUUGUCAUUUAUGAAGCCAUUGUUCUAGCAGUGUUGCUAUUUAGUUAUACUUCUGUACUCUUUCCUUCCGAUGCAUUUUAUCUCUGCAAAAGAAGACAUUUUUCAGGAAAAGAUAGAUGAUUUAGUCUAUGUGGGUUUUAUGUGUAAUUGAGUUUGAUCUUUCAAUUUGAUGUUCAUCAGGAAGAGGUGGGAGGGAAGAGGAAGGGGGGGGGGGGGGGGAAUCAUUAAAAGUUGAUCUGUUUAGAAUUUAUGCCUAGGAAAUGAUGAUAUGGAGCUUUGAUUGUUGGUAAUACAGUGAGAUUGGUGGGGGAAAUAAAUGCUUGUUUAAGGGUAAUGGAGUUGAAUUAUUGGUGAUAUUGACCUUUGGUAGUUGGUUGUCCCCCCUCACUGUUGUUCUUUGGAUGGAAGAGAAGGAUGACAGAUGGAGUGUCAAUGGGGAGAAGAGAAGCCCAAAGGAUCAUGGCAUUUAUAAAAUAAUCAUGAAAUUACUGGUCUCUUAUGGCUUUGAUAGGAUAGGUCAUGUGAAAUUUAGAGAGAGAGAGUAAAUUGGCAAAGAUUUGGCCAUGUUUACUACAAGCAAUCUCUUUGAAAGAUAAGCUUUCUAUGCAUAAAUGGAUUGAUGAUAAUGCAGAAGAGACUAACAGGACUAUAAAAAAAAAAUUUACAUGACAAUUUUACACCCUUCAGUAUUUAUUGUGAUGUUGAACAAUUCAAAUAUAGUGCUUUAUAUGUCUAGGAACAGAAAGCAUAGUAGCAGAAUUCAAAGUCCUUGUUCUGUUUUUGGUUUACUCCACCCACAGUCCCCAUCUCUUAGGUUAUAUAUUGAGGCCAGUUCUAACUUUGAACAUGGAAGGUGGUGAAGAAAAGAAAGAUGCUUUUCUCAACUAGAAAGAAGAAGCCUUACUGAUGCAGCUGAGUUUUCAUAUUAGUAAUUCCUGUUUUCAUGCCCAAAUAGUGUUGCCAAGACAAAAACUAUAUAAAUGUUGCUGAUGCAACUAUGAUUUUUCAUGCUAUUGAUUCCUAUUCUUGUUGUCUAGCUUUCAAAACCAACUUAAAUGCCUGAUUUCUACUAUCAGAAAUUAGCUACACAUGCUAUUAAAACCUUCAGAGCAGGACCAUUCAUUCAUAUGAUCAAUAAUGUUUCCAAUAAAAUAAUCUUGACUAGUAAAACAUUAAAAUCUAUUUGGUUCCCUGUAUUAACUGUCUACUUCAACUUUUUAUGAGGAAAGAAGAGAUUCUGUUCACCCAUAAGCCAUGGAAGAUGAGAAGGGGUCCAAAGAGACUUCCAGAUGAUUGUGGCAGACAAAUGAUCAGUUGUGUCAAGUGUCACUUUUGGGUUGUUGCCCUCCCAAAGAUGGCAUUUCUGGUGGGGAUAUCACCUAUAUUUUAAGGCAUUUAUGACCUACCAAGGUCAAUAGGACUGACAGAUACAAUCAUAGGACCAGAAACACAUCAUCCAUAAAAGACCCAUAUAAACCGACAACGGCAGCUAUACGAACCAACCAAUUAGCAAGUCCCAUCAGCUACCAACAGUGACACUGCAACGAUAGUGUCCUUUUAGACACACGCUGAUUUAUUGUCUAGAUUUUGUGUUAUCAGCGAUUUGUAAAGGAGGAACAAAGGACAAAAGAAACUCAUCUUGAUUUGUUUUGGUCUCUAUCUUGAGAUAAGUGUUCGGUGGUGAUCAUAAGGGAGGGGUUCUAUUUUUCUUGUAAAAGCGAACCUGGUCAUGCGUUCUUGUUUUUGUUCCUAAUGCAGAAAGUUGUAACAAAAGGAGUUUAUAAUUUACAGAAAUCUCUCUAUACAAAAAAUAAGACAAUAAAAUUUUACCAAGCAGCUUCAGUAUUAAAUUUGAUGUAUUAGAUCUGCACUAGAUCACUGAAUCAACUGGGGACCAUCUAAUGUGGUUAAAUCUGGUCAUGCUGGUGAUUCCUCAGGUGUUCCCUCUAAGCCACCAAUUAAUCUUCCUUGUUAGAUCUGGGUUAGACUCCAUAAGAUCUAAGGGGUUCAUGGCCUGUACCGACACGAACGAGCAAUCACAACAAAUCAUAAUAUCACAAAUAAUAUUUGAGAUCAGUUACAUAAGUCUUUUUGUUGCCAUUCAACUUCCUAAAAAAAAGGUGCCACUAAUACAAGAACAAGAGAACAAACAUGAAAAAGAAAUCAGAAUUCAGCGUUGUUGUCUGGGAGCCACCUGAAGGCCUUUCUGUGAACAGUAAGUUGAUUGUACCACCCAUUACUCUUUCAGACACAUGUUUGGUAACUUCUGUUGGCUUUCUCUGCUUCUUGUCAAAGUUCCAUCAAUGUUCUGUGAAGUUGAUGUUUUUUACCUUGUGCUGUUCCAAACAUCUUCUGACAAUUAAUUUUUAUUCAUUAGUUUUCUUUUUUCUUUCAUUUAGAGUUUCUUUGAUCUUUAUAGAGUUGGUUUAGAUGGCAUGUCAUGACACUGGAAUCUUUGACAAGUCUAACAAAAGUUGAUACUUUUGCAGAUUAAUUUUGCUAAUCAUAGAUGUCAAAUAAAGGUCUAAAGUAAAAUAGAGCUAAAAAUGAACUGUUAUCACUUACCUUUCCAACUAAUUUUGUUUUGUUCUCGUUGAAGCUAAGAAACCAGAGCUUUUCUUUGUGCACUGUAAUUGUGCUUUAACUAAUAUCACCGGUUAUUUCAGUCAAAUGUGAGUCUUUGCGUUGUGAAUCUUUGUUUCUUUGUCACUCAUUCAUGUUUUUCAACAGUUUCGAGCUGCCGUAUUGGUGAAAAUAUCAUGCACUGAUCAUCUUUCAUCACAAGCUUUCACGCGUAACACCAUGCCCUUACAGAUGCUCCAAGUCAAUUAAUUCCUCUUUGGUAACUCGCCUUCAAUGUCAUUCCAUGUUGGGUAGGUUAAACUAGAAAUAAACGCACUAGUCUAUCUUUGGAUGAUUCAAAUCUUGUUGGGUUUCAGUAUCCAAUGCUUGACUAAGUAGCCAUUUAACGAAUAAUUUUAAAUCAAAGAAUUUAAAGCUUGAAUCCACAAGCAAAACAUACCUGGUCGCUAAUUUGAAAACGAGCAGUCAUCUACAACGGCGAGGAACCAAAUGAUUGACGAGUUGAACUGUUUAUGGCCGACCCACGGAAUCGCAAGGUUUUGGUUGGUCGAUGUGGGACUUUAACAACCAUAUCACACACCAAAAAUCAUCUUGAGCUGAAGCAUGAACGGUCGAUAGAUCGAGAGCUGAAGUU